AGAGUCUGAAAAGAAGAAAUGUUAAAGGUUGCCUUGAAAACAUGAUGGAUACAAAUAAACCAGAUCUCAUAUUACCCGUAGGUCAAUGGCUGGAAGCGAC